rnacentral:rRNA from 1 species
AUUGAACGCUGGCGGCAGGCUUAACACAUGCAAGUCGAGCGGGGUGAUGGUGCUUGCACUAUCACUUAGCGGCGGACGGGUGAGUAAUGCUUAGGAAUCUGCCUAUUAGUGGGGGACAACAUCUCGAAAGGGAUGCUAAUACCGCAUACGUCCUACGGGAGAAAGCAGGGGAUCACUUGUGACCUUGCGCUAAUAGAUGAGCCUAAGUCGGAUUAGCUAGUUGGUGGGGUAAAGGCCUACCAAGGCGACGAUCUGUAGCGGGUCUGAGAGGAUGAUCCGCCACACUGGGACUGGGACACGGCACAGACUCCUACGGGAGGCAGCAGUGGGGAAUAUUGGACAAUGGGGGGAACCCUGAUCCAGCCAUGCCGCGUGUGUGAAGAAGGCCUUAUGGUUGUAAAGCACUUUAAGCGAGGAGGAGGCUCUUUUGGUUAAUACCCAAGAUGAAUGGACGUUACUCGCAGAAUAAGCACCGGCUAACUCUGUGCCAGCCGCCGCCGUAA